rnacentral:lncRNA from 1 species
CGGAGGUUGGGGCGCUGGCCCCACUGCACAGUAGAAAAUCCACUAUAACUUUGACUCCCCCAAAACUUAACUACUAAUAGCCUACUGUAAGCCUUACAAAUAACACAGUCAAUUAACACAUAUUUAAUAUGUUAUAUGUCUUAUAUACUGUAUUCUUAACAAACAUGCCAGAGAAAAGAAAAAGAAAAUCAUAAGGAAAAUAUAUUUACUAGUUAUUAAAUGGAAGUAGAUGAUCAGACAGGUCUUCAUCCUCAUCCUUUUCAUGGGCAGGGUGUGGAGAAAGAUGUAGAAUUGUUGGUUUUGCUAAGUGGACCUGCACAGUUCAAACCCCUGUGGUGCAAAGGCCACCUGUAUAGCCAUUGAAUAGCAAUUUAUUUUUAGAAAUUAACCUCACUAAAAUACUCUUAGAAGGAUGCCAAGAAAAAAAACGAAUAAGUAUUUUUGGUUCAUCUAUUUCAUCAUUUCAUUUCAUCAUUUCAUUUCAUUUCCUCAUUUCAUCAUUUCAUUCUUUUAUUUCAUCAUUUCAUCUCAUUUCACCUCAUCAUUUCAUCAUUUCAUUUCAUCAUUUCAUCACAUUUCAUUUCAUCAUUUCACUUCAUCUCAUUUAUUCAUUUCAUCUCAUGAUUUCAUUUCAUCUCAUGAUUUCAUCUCAUUUCAUCUUUUCAUCUCGUCAUUUCAUCUUUUCAUCUCGUCAUUUCAUUUCAUCAUUUCAUUUCAUCUUUUCAUCUCAUUGCAUUUCAUUUCAUCAUUUCAUCAAUUCAUUUCAUUUAUUUCAUCAUUUCAUUUCACCACUUCAUCAUUUCAUCAUUUGACUUCAUUUUAUCAUUUCAUAUCAUCAUUUCAUCACUUCAUCUUUUCAUCAUUUCACUUCAUAAUUUCAUCAUUUCAUUUCCUCAUUUCCUCAUUUCAUUUCAUCCUUUCAUCAUUUCAUCUCAUCAUUUCAUCCUUUCAUUUCAUUACAUCAUUUCAUCUCAUCGUUUGCAUUUCGUCACUUCAUCAUUUCAUUUCAUCAUUUCACUUCAUCUCAUCAUUUCAUCUCAUGAUUUCAUUUCAUCUCAUUUCAUCUUUUCAUCUCAUCAUUUCAUCAAUUCAUCAUUUCAUCAUUUCAUAUCAUUUCUUCAUUUCACCAUUUCAUCAUUUCAUUUCAUCAUUUCAUCAUUUCACUUCAUUUCAUUUCCUCAUUUCAUUCCACUUCAUCAUUUCAUUUCAUUUCUUCAUUUCAUCAUUUCAUUUCAUUUCAUCAUUUCAUCAUUUCAUUUCAUUUCAGUGAUACAUGUAUUUAAGUGCUAAUGCGAUGCCCAGGAGACACCCUAUUUCCCUUUGUAAAACACCUCCUUCAACAAAAGGCAACCUCUCAUGUCUGGCUAAGUCUACAGGGAUACCAGCCUCUCUUCAACCACCCAAUUUGAUUUAGAACCUCAAACAGCACCUCAGUUUCAUAAAAAC